GCCGUCACCGAUUUGAUUUGAAUGCAUAGCUGACUAUGCCGAACCCACGCCGGGUGCAUAAAACUCAUUGUCUGUCAAGAUUAAUGAUCUGGAAGCCCGGCAAAUUUCAAAGCAACAAUACAGGGUGUCCCACCUUUUCAAAUUUUCCUAUUGUCACAUUUGAAUGCCUGAGCAUUAUGCCGAACCCCACAGAAGUCUGAAAACGAGACCUGAACAAAUAACUGUAUUCUUAAUGGGUAAGUGCAAGAUACUCCAGGGAAUUUAAAAUAGCUUCUGAUAAAAGGAGAGUGCAUUGCUACACAAAAAUUGUCGAAUUACUAAUCAGUCAUACAAGCAGCCGGAGCAAAAAAUUGUUCAACUGAGCAAAGAGUUUUUAUUGAUUGUGUUAUAUUAUACGCUCAAAGUACAU